ACGGCAAGAUGAAGGAAAGAAACACAAACGCAAGAAAGUUGGCGGGCUACGGAGGGGAAGGAGAUUCUUGUUGAUACAUUGAUGGACAAUGAAUAAUAGCCCAUGUCCUUGAAGUAUUUUGGUUUAGUUUCUGACUGAGUUUGUGUGUUGUAAGCUGUGAGCGGUCAGUGCACAGUUGGUGACACACCCGGCCCGGCUUCCACCACCCAGCUUGAGGGAAGCGACAAGCCAGGACUGAAGCCAGACUAAACCUCCCUGCAGUGGAAUACCUGAGCUGUAUACAGGGUUUGGCUGCUUGUCUCACACAUCAGAAAUGUGAUUAUAAAGUGUGCAGAAAGAAAAGCAGAACUCUCAGCACCCUUACUGCACAUUUCAAAACAAGCUAUGAAAGCCAAAUCAAAGAGGAGAUAUGAGCUGGGGCCCAUAAGGUUUUUGUUCAAUCUAUUCAUCAUCAUCUAGUUCUGAUGUGCUGCCUUCAGAGAGGGAAGUAUGAGGGACCCCUGCAUCGAGCGUGGUGUUUGCUGUAUGCGAGAAGGUUGUGGCGUGCCUUGGUAGCUGAAUGGUUACAGCGCAUGCCAUAUAACUGCAACGCCGCUGGUUCCGACUCCAGCCAGCGACCUUUGUUGCAGGUCGCGCCCCUCUCUCCUGCCAUUUCCCAUCUGCCCCUUCACCCUCACUGUGUCCAGUGAAGGUGAAAGAAUGCCUGAAAAAGAUCUUUAUAAAAAGAAAGAAAGUUGUUUCUUGUUCAGCUGGAAGAGGAGAAGAGACCUGGCCACAGCUCAGUCUCCCUGCACACCAGCUCAUCACAGAGGCUCCUACCAAGUGGGGCGUCCCUUGAGGAUACCACGUUCAGAAUAACUUCCAUCGCAAACGAAACUAUUGAAGACAUGUCAGAGGUGGAGGCUAUGCUAGCUGACCAGGCCACAGCUGUGUCUAUGCCUCAUGAGGCACAGGUAUCUGAUCCACCACUGGCUAGGAAAGAAAAGAAAACCCUUGGAAUCUUCUUUAAGAGUGCAACAUCCUCUACCACUUCAUCACAGAGAGAGGAAAUGGAAUAGAACUGUCGACAUACUGACAAUCUGUUGGUGCAGACAGCGAGUCAAGUCCCCUGCAGUGGUGGAAGGACCGCGGAGAAAUGUUCCCGAAACUGAAGAAUUUGGCAAAAAAAAAAAAAUCUCUGUGUACCUUCCACCUGUUCCCCAUCUGAAAGUGUAUUUAGUACCAGUGGGAACACUGUGACAUGCCACAUCCCUCAAGCUGGAAACGGUCGACAGGCUUGUGUUCCUGUCACAAAACCUGCAGAGGAAGGUUUGCACACAGACAAACAUGUACAAAUAUCUUGUUGUUUUGCACAUUUUGUUUAGCUUACUCAGCUCAUUAAAAGUACUGAUAAUAUUUGAAGUACUUGAGAUUCUUUUUUUUGUAAUGGAUGUUUGUAAUUUGCCAUCAUUUAUUUAGAUUUAACAGCUGUUAAUAAUAGAUAUGCUGUUUGCAGUUGUUUUGUUUGAAUAAAUUAAGACUUGUUAAAUUGUACUUUGUUGUGGUUUUUAAACUC